rnacentral:rRNA from 1 species
GAUGAACGCUGGCGGCGUGCCUAAUACAUGCAAGUCGAGCGAACAGACGAGGAGCUUGCUCCUCUGACGUUAGCGGCGGACGGGUGAGUAACACGUGGAUAACCUACCUAUAUGACUGGGAUAACUUCGGGACACCGGAGCUUAUACCGGAUAAUAUAUUGAACCGCAUGGUUCAAUAGUGAAAGACGGUUUUGCUGUCACUUCUAGAUGGAUCCGCGCCGCAUUAGAUAGUUGGUAAGGUAACGGCUUACCAAGGCAACGAUGCGUAGCCGACCUGAGAGGGUGAUCGGCCACACUGGAACUGAGACACGGUCCAGACUCCUACGGGAGGCAGCAGUAGGGAAUCUUCCGCAAUGGGCGAAAGCCUGACGGAGCAACGCCGCGUGAGUGAUGAAGGUCUUCGGAUCGUAAAGCGCUGUUAUUAGGGAAGAACAAAUUUGUAAGUAACUGUGCACGGCGUGACGGUACCUAAUCAGAAAGCCACGGCUAACUACGUG